AAAAAUGACUCUCGGCAACGGAUAUCUCGGCUCUUGCAUCGAUGAAGAACGUAGCGAAAUGCGAUACUUGGUGUGAAUUGCAGAAUCCCGUGAACCAUCGAGUCUUUGAACGCAAGUUGCGCCCAAAGCCAUUUGGUUGAGGGCACGCCUGCUUGGGUGUCGUG
rnacentral:rRNA from 5 species